AUGGCCAAGAUCCAGCCCCUUCCUUCCUCUCCCUGCUCCAUCUCUUCCUCCGAUGAUCACCAGCAGGGCAGACAGGCGUACACGCUCUGGAUGAAGUCGCUGGUGUUCAACGGCAACGGCUGCGCGGUGUACGGCCCAGACGGCGCCGUCGCCUUCCGCGUCGACAACUACGGCUGCAGGGGCGGCCGCGAGGUCCUCUUCAUGGACCGCGCCGGCAACGCCCUCAUCAGGAUCAGGCGCAAAGGCGGCAUGUUCAGGAGGUGGGAGGUCUGCCGGUGUACCCACGACGGAGGCGAGGGGGACGAGGCGACUCCUUGGUUCAGCGUGCGCCGGGCCGAGAAGGGCGGGGCCGCAGUCACGAUGCACGACGGCGCGGGGACGUGCUACACGAUGGACGGAUGCUCGCGCAAGCCGGAGUACAGAAUCCGCGACGUCGAUGGCAUGGUCGUGGCCGAGGUGGCGCGGAAGCAGACGGCGGCGGGUGUGGUGCUCGGAGACGACGUGCUGACGCUGACGGUGGGGCCGGAGGUGGGCCACCUGCUCGUCUUGGGCUUGGUCGCCGUGCGUGGUCUCAUGAACGGAUCCAUGUGA
rnacentral:rRNA from 1 species